rnacentral:rRNA from 1 species
GACAGAGGGUGCUAGCGUUGUUCGGAAUGACUGGGCGUAAAGGGCGCCUAGGCGGGGAUAUUAGUCAAGCGUGAAAGCCCCGGGCUUAACCUGGGAACAGCGCAUGAAACGGUAUACCUAGAGUGCGAGAGAGGGAAGCGGAAUUCCUAGUGUAGAGGUGAAAUUCGUAGAUAUUAGGAGGAACACCAGAGGCGAAGGCGGCUUUCUGGCUCGCAACUGACGCUGAGGCGCGAAAGCGUGGGGAGCAAACAGG